rfam:Myotis brandtii contig293846, whole genome shotgun sequence.
GGAGGUUCUCGGGUGACACACCCCUGAAUCGGGCUCCCUCUUCUCUGGUUCCCUGGUGUGUCACCAAGUCA